rnacentral:rRNA from 1 species
GACGAACGCUGGCGGCGCGCCUAACACAUGCAAGUCGAACGGAGCGCACGAGAAGAUUACCUUCGGGUAUGAUUUUUGUGUUGCUUAGUGGCGAACGGGUGAGUAACACGUGAGCAACCUACCUUCCAGUGGGGGACAACAUUUGGAAACAGAUGCUAAUACCGCAUAAGACCACAGCCGGACAUCCGGCAGCGGCCAAAGGAGCAAUUCGCUGGAAGAUGGGCUCGCGCCUGAUUAGAUAGUUGGUGGGGUAACGGCUCACCAAGUCUGCGAUCAGUAGCCGGACUGAGAGGUCGAUCGGCCACAUUGGGACUGAGACACGGCCCAGACUCCUACGGGAGGCAGCAGUGGGGAAUAUUGCACAAUGGGCGAAAGCCUGAUGCAGCGACGCCGCGUGAGGGAAGAAGGUUUUCGGAUUGUAAACCUCUGUCUUUGGGGACGAAGAAGUGACGGUACCCAAGGAGGAAGCCACGGCUAACUACGUG